rnacentral:rRNA from 1 species
GACGAACGCUGGCGGCGUGCUUAACACAUGCAAGUCGAACGGUGAAGCCCUUCGAGGUUGAUCAGUGGCGAACGGGGGAGUAACACGUUAGCAACCUGCCCCGGGCUCUGUGACAACCACUGGAAACGGUGGCUAAUACCGGAUACGACCCGCCUCCGCAUCACGUGUGGGUGGAAAGUUUUUCGGCUGGUGGUGGGCUCGCGGCCUAUCAUCUUGUUGGUGAUGUGAAGGCGCACCAAGGCGACGACGGGUAGCCGGCCUGAGAGGGCGAACGGCCACAAUGGGACUGCGAGACGGCCCAGACUCCUACGGGAGGCAGCAGUGGGGAAUCUUGCCCAAUGGGCGAAAGCCUGAUGCAGCGACGCCGCGUGAGGGAUGACGGCCUUCGGGUUGUAAACCUCUUUCAGCUCCGAAGAAGCGAAAGUGACGGUAGGAGCAGAAGAAGCACCGGCUAACUACGUG